GACGAACGCUGGCGGCGUGCCUAACACAUGCAAGUCGAACGAAAAGGCCCUGCUCUUGCGGGGUGCUCGAGUGGCGAACACGUGAGAAAAACGCGAGUAACCUGUCCUUGUCUGUGGGAUAAAACAAGGGGAAAGGGGCUAAUACAGGGUAGAAGAUCCUGCAGCAUGGGGGGGGAUGGUAAGUGACGGCGGUUGGGGAUGGACUCGCGGCUUAUCAGCUUGUUGGUGGGGUAGUGGCUUAACAAGGCUUUGACGGGAAGCCGGACUGAGAAGGUGACAGGCCACAUAGGGACAGGGAUACGGCCCAGACUGCUACGGGAGGCAGCAGUGGGGAAUAGUGCACGAUGGGCGGAGGCCGGAUGCAGCAACUCCGCGUGCGGGAAGACGGCCUUCGGGUUGUAAACCUCUUGCGCCUGUAACGAAGCGUGAGUGACGGUAAUGGGUAAAGAAGCACCGGCUAACUACGUG
rnacentral:rRNA from 1 species